CCUACGGGAGGCAGCAGUGGGGAAUCUUGCGCAAUGGGCGAAAGCCUGACGCAGCCAUGCCGCGUGAAUGAUGAAGGUCUUAGGAUUGUAAAAUUCUUUCAGUAGGGACGAUAAUGACGGUACCUACAGAAGAAGCCCCGGCUAACUUCGUGCCAGCAGCCGCGGUAAUACGAAGGGGGCUAGCGUUGCUCGGAAUUACUGGGCGUAAAGGGAGCGUAGGCGGGUUAUCAAGUUGGAGGUGAAAGCCCAGGGCUCAACCUUGGAAUAGCCUUCAAAACUGAUAACCUAGAGGAUGGAAGAGGUAAGUGGAACUCCGAGUGUAGAGGUGAAAUUCGUAGAUAUUCGGAAGAACACCAGUGGCGAAGGCGACUUACUGGUCCAUUACUGACGCUGAGGCUCGAAAGCGUGGGGAGCAAACAGGAUUAGAUACCCUGGUAGUCCACGCUGUAAACGAUGAUUGCUAGUUGUCGGCAGNAUGCUCGUCGGUGACGCAGCUACGACAUAAGUACACUACCGCCGUCGGGAGGUACGGUCGCGAGAGUAAACGUAACGAAAGGUAAAGUUAGUACGGUUCGUUGUAGAGUUAGCGACGGACGACGACGAGGGAGGAGG
rnacentral:rRNA from 1 species